GAGUCUCUACAAAGAUGUGAUGCUGGAGACCUACUGGAACCUCACUGUUAUAGGUGCUGGAAGACCUGUGGAAACACAAGGAGUUCACCAACCAUGAGCUUCAGGAGUGAUACAAGGGUUUCCUCAAUGACUGUCCCACUGGCCACCUGACUGUGGACAAUUUCAAGAUCUAGGCCAACUUCUUCCCCUACAGAGAUGCCUCCAAGGUCGCUGAACAUGUCUUCCACAACUUUGACACCAACAGCAACAGCACCAUCGACUUCCGAGUGUUCAUCAUUGCUCUGAGCAUGACCUCUCGGGACAAGCUGGAACAGAAGCUGAAGUGGGCCUUAGCAAGUCCGACCUAGACAGCAAUAGCUACAUCAGCUGCAGGAAAUGCUGGAGAUAGUGCAGUUACCUGCACUUGACAGGGUCUGGAGCAUGGGGAGUGCAGGGAUCCAAGACCCCUAUCCCCGACCCCAUACACCAGGUCAUUCCUCUGCCCACCUGCUACCUGCUGUAUUAAAGGACUGUAUGUCUUUGCAGUGAGUAACAAUAAAAGCCAAGCAUC
rnacentral:lncRNA from 1 species